ensembl:antisense Gm10863 predicted gene 10863
AAGUGGGUGACGUUGAUCAAGGCACUGGGCUCACACGGGCCGCGCCCCGCGUGAUCUGUUGUCUCCAGGCAGACUGCCUCACUUGGGGCGAUUCUUUGAUCCCUGCUUCCUAUAUGGCAAGCCAGGGACUGAAACUUACGAUUUGACUGGACAAUCUAUAAGGUGCUAGCUGCAUUCCUGGCCUGGGAGCAGGGAGCCUGUCUGACCCCUGUGUCACACUGGAUGGUUUUACAGAGGUGCCCCACCUGAUGCUGGAUGGAAGUCAUCACCCUACAGUGGUCCUUUUAUGACAGGCCGCAAGGUCACCAUAUGACAAACAGGACACAUCUGCCACAACUGGGAGGUGGGGCUGCUUCCCAAAGGACCCUGUGCCAGGUCAGUCUCUGUGGUGACUUGGUUUCAGGGGAGGCUGCACUUGACAGCACCUCCCUUAAAGAGGAGGCGUCAAUACAGAUGUAGGCCCGAAGAUGCUGUUGCAGUGUAUGUAAUAACAAAAGCUGGCUGUGAUCGUAACAUUCAGGGACCGAGGAUAGGGAACCAGAGGCAGAUCACGGUCACAUAACAAGGCAGUAAAAAUGACAUUCAUGCAGAAUUUUAAUGAUGUAGGGGAACUGUGUGUGGUGUAAACGUGUGUAAAACUGAGGAUACGCAGUUAUAUGCAUGUAGAUAACUUCAACAAAGAGCAAUGAAGAAGCCCAACAGUGUGCCCUGCUCGAACUCCAUGGGAUUGAAGCACGGCCAGGAAGAAGACAGGAUGGGCUGGGAGAAAACAGGAGAGGUGGAGGAGAUGUCUGUCGGCAAAGUGCUCCCUGUGCAGGCCUGAGUUCAAUUCUCAGACCCCACACAGAAAAGCCAGGCGUGAUAGCAUGGGCUUGCAACUCCCGGCACAAAAGAGGUGGACAUGG